rnacentral:sRNA from 1 species
GCUAAGAGCAACAGUGGCCCGUUUCAGAGCUAUGCUGGAAACAGCAUAGCAAGUUGAAAUAAGGCUAGUCCGUUAUCAACUUGAAAAAGUGGCACCGAGUCGGUGCUUUUUUU